AUUGAACGCUGGCGGCAUGCCUUACACAUGCAAGUCGAACGGCAGCGCGGGGCAACCUGGCGGCGAGUGGCGAACGGGUGAGUAAUAUAUCGGAACAUACCCUAGAGUGGGGGAUAACGUAGCGAAAGUUACGCUAAUACCGCAUACGCACUAAGGUGGAAAGUGGGGGAUCUUCGGACCUCAUGCUCAUGGAGUGGCCGAUAUCUGAUUAGCUAGUUGGUGAGGUAAAGGCUCACCAAGGCGACGAUCGAGUAGCUGGUUUGAGAGAACGACCAGCCACACUGGAACUGAGACACGGUCCAGACUCCUACGGAGGCAGCAGUGGGGAAUUUUGGACAAUGGGGGCAACCCUGAUCCAGCAAUGCCGCGUGAGUGAAGAAGGCCU
rnacentral:rRNA from 1 species